rnacentral:ncRNA from 1 species
UAGAAAACGUUGAUUAAGAGUAGUAACUGUGAUAGAACUUCGUAGAGAGUCAGUGGGUGGUGAAAACUGAUAAGGAAAAUGGCAGUGAAUGGACUUAUGAGUGCAAUCUGAAUUUUAGUAGGUACGCCGGGAACUCCCGUUAUAGAGUGCAGAAGUUGAUGGACUUCGAAGAAUCAUGAGAUUGGCAUAUAUCUCACACCUAUUUAUGGGUGUGAGAUUUUUUUUAGGUCAUUCACAAAUUUUAAGCUCAGCUAGGGCCUUAUUAGAAGUGAAUCGUCCGUUUUUUUACUCAAAGGUGGCAUAGCGAGAAACCUCGUCCUUUUA